GACUCUAGGUCUGUCACUCUAGACCACUAUGCUACCUAGUUUUCCCAUAAACUGGUGAUGACCUCUAAAUUUAAGCUGGUCCAUGAUUAAGUGACAUAUUCUAUAAUUUGGUCUGUAUUCAGAGUUUUUCUUGAUUGGUGGAACCUAUCAGAACUUGAAUUCAGCUGGCUUGGUAUAACUGUAAAGAACUUAGUGCCAUCCCCCAUGGCCACAUGCCAUGGACCCUCAAUUUCAGCAAGACUUUUACAAAUGCCAUCUUGAAGAGGUCAUAAAAAAGAAUAACAGAAUCUAUGCCAGUAGGUACUUAGAGACAGGAAAAGGUGUGAUAUAGGAUGAUUUCAGAUAGAAAUUUACAAGGGCAGUGUGAAGACUGGCUUUAGCUCUCCCCUGAUUGUGAAAACGAAGGCACUUAGCUCUUCCUUUAUUGUGAAGAUUAAAUUGUAAUCCCUUGUCUAUUUUUAGAUUUUAUUCCCUAAAGUGUAAACUCAGUACUUAAAGUAGAUUUUUCCAUUUUAAGCACAAAAAGGUAUGAACUAACUACAAAAAGGUGUGAACUAGCCACAAGAAGGCAUGAGUGGGAGUGACCCAUGUGUGAAAGAGUGGGCAGUCCUAGAGAGGAGUGUCUGCUGUGAUUGGUAGAUGUAAAAUUUAGGGGAGGUGACACAAGAGAAAAAGGUCGUUAAAUAAUGGAAACAGAGACACACAGAGAUGAACAGUCACUCUGAGUUGUAUUGGAAGACAAUCAUUCGGACUUGGAGUGAAGACAGUCACUUGGUACUGGAGGGAAGACAGACCCUUGAGGAGAAACUGGAAGACAGACACUCAGAUUUGGAGUGAAGACACUUGGAUAUGGAACUGGACCCCUGGAGGAGCUCUUGCAGGAGACCUCAUACUGCUUUCCUUUUAGAUGGUCACCAUGGUGCAGGUCCAGGAUUGCCUGGUGUCUUUCAUGUCCUUCCUGGCUUUGCUUCUGACUUUGUUGACAUGACUCAGUUGUUUUCUCAUUCUGGAAGAUAUCUCAGCCAUGCUAACCUCUUUUUUUUCCAUAGGCUGUGCUCCAGACUUCUCUACCAUUCUCCAGAAAUUUCUUCAUUUUGAAGAUUACUUCAGCCUUGGAAUUCAGAUAUCUAAGGUCUUCUCAGCUCCUAUAGCCCCUUCCUCUAAUUGAAUGGCUCCUUCUUGAACCUGCAUUUAAGGAGAAUUUCCUCUUAAUUUCUCACCAAGUUGCACUCCAACCUUCUUCAUCAUGUACCUCCCUGAGCCAGGUAUCUCCCUCCUUUCCUCACUUUUCAGCUCCCUCUUAUGUAUUAUCUUCCCCCCAUGAGUAUGUAACUUCCUGAAGGACAGAUACUGUCAUUUUUUUUAUUCUUUAUUCUCAUCUUGUAACAAAGUAAGCAUUUCUGACCAACAGACAAAACACAAAUAAAAGAAGGAUAAAAUGAGUCA
rnacentral:lncRNA from 1 species